UCCUACGGGGCGCAGCAGUGAGGAAUAUUGGUCAAUGGGCGCGAGCCUGAACCAGCCAAGUCGCGUGAGGGAAGACGGUCCUAUGGAUUGUAAACCUCUUUUGCCGGGGAGCAAGCUGGGUCACGUGUGACCCAGCUGAGAGUACCCGGAGAAAAAGCAUCGGCUAACUCCGUGCCAGCAGCCGCGGUAAUACGGAGGAUGCGAGCGUUAUCCGGAUUUAUUGGGUUUAAAGGGUGCGUAGGCGGACUGUCAAGUCAGCGGUAAAAUUGAGAGGCUCAACCUCUUCCCGCCGUUGAAACUGGUGG
rnacentral:rRNA from 1 species